CAGCCGCCGCGGUAAUACGUAGGUGGCAAGCGUUGUCCGGAAUUAUUGAGCGUAAAGGGCUCGCAGGCGGUUUCUUAAGUCUGAUGUGAAAGCCCCCGGCUCAACCGGGGAGGGUCAUUGGAAACUGGGAAACUUGAGUGCAGAAGAGGAGAGUGGAAUUCCACGUGUAGCGGUGAAAUGCGUAGAGAUGUGGAGGAACACCAGUGGCGAAGGCGACUCUCUGGUCUGUAACUGACGCUGAGGAGCGAAAGCGUGGGGAGCGAACAGGAUUAGAUACCCCAGUAGUCCCUGUCUCUUAUAA
rnacentral:rRNA from 1 species